rnacentral:rRNA from 1 species
CCCAGACUCCUACGGGAGGCAGCAGUGGGGAAUAUUGCACAAUGGGGGAAACCCUGAUGCAGCAACGCCGCGUGGGUGAAGGAGCGUUUCGGCGCGUAAAGCCCUGUCAGCGGGGAAGAAGAAAGACGGUACCUGACUAAGAAGCCCCGGCUAACUACGUGCCAGCAGCCGCGGUAAUACGUAGGGGGCAAGCGUUAUCCGGAUUUACUGGGUGUAAAGGGAGCGUAGACGGCAGCGCAAGUCUGGAGUGAAAUCCCAUGGCUUAACCAUGGAACUGCUUUGGAAACUGUGCAGCUGGAGUGCAGGAGAGGUAAGCGGAAUUCCUAGUGUAGCGGUGAAAUGCGUAGAUAUUAGGAGGAACACCAGUGGCGAAGGCGGCUUACUGGACUGUAACUGACGUUGAGGCUCGAAAGCGUGGGGAGCAAACAGGAUUAGAUACCCCAGUA